rnacentral:rRNA from 1 species
UACGAAGGGGGCUAGCGUUGCUCGGAAUCACUGGGCGUAAAGCGCACGUAGGCGGCUCGAUAAGUGUGAAGUGAAAUCUCUAGGCUCAACCCAGAAACUGCUUUACAUACUGUCGAGCUGGAGUGAUGAAGAGGUUGUGGAAUUCCUGGUGUAGCGGUGAAAUGCGUUGAUAUCAGGAGGAACACCCAUGGCGAAGGCAGCAAACUGGUCAUCAACUGACGCUGAGGCGCGAAAGCGUGGGUAGCAAACAGG